rnacentral:rRNA from 1 species
UACGUAGGGUGCGGAGCGUUGUCCGGAUUUAUUGGGCGUAAAGAGCUCGGUAGGCGGUUUGUCGCGUCUGCCGGUGAAAGUCCGGGGCUCAACUCCGGAUCUGCGGUGGGUACGGGCAGACUAGAGUGAUGUAGGGGAGACUGGAAUUCCUGGUGUAGCGGUGAAAUGCGCAGAUAUCAGGAGGAACACCGAUGGCGAAGGCAGGUCUCUGGGCAUUAACUGACGCUGAGGAGCGAAAGCAUGGGGAGCGAACAGG